GGCUUGAUUUUAAAGCAGAUCGCCCUUUCACGGCGGAAACACGGGUUCGAGUCCCGUAGGGGUCACCA
rnacentral:tRNA from 1 species